AAGAGCCAGUCCGAGGCUGCUGAGGCAAUCCCCGUACUACAUGACGAGAGCUGAGCUCAGGCAGCGAUGGGGAAGGAAGGGAGAAGGUUUCAGGAAUGCAGAGUCAGAGCUGAGGGGAAUGUAAAUGUGAUUGGGAAGCAGGUGCUGAGGAAGAGGCGGGAAUUGAGGGUGACCAUGGCAUAUCUGGCCUGGGCACUCUGUGGCCUCCUCUGUAAAGGCAGGAGGAAGGCAGGGAGGGAGCAGGUGGAAGCUGAGGCAAUGGCAGGGGGCUCACUUGCAACAGGACCAUCUCUGGUGUGGAUGCCCUGCCCUGGACUUCAAGAAAUAGACGUGGGCUUUGGGAAAGGAUCAGUUGGCAGGAUUGGAAGAGAAGAAGAGUCAGAGAUGAAUCCCCAGGGAGACUGCAGGUAAGCAGAGGAGAGGAAAGAAGGUUUUCUAAGGAGACAGAAGGAGAAGAUCUCAGAGGGCAAAGGACCAAAGCCAGAUGAAUGGAGGGUCGUUGGUCAGUGGUCCUUUUACUGAGCGUUUCACAUGAUCUAUGAGUGUGGCAGCCCCUGAGCUGAUCUGGAUGGACUGAUCUCCAAGAAAGCAUGCAAGACAUUGAAGGGGUUCAAACAAUGCCAACCAAAUUAUGCCACUUUAGCAGAAGGAUUAUUCUGAGCUGAAGAAAAUUGAGAAGGAGCAGUUAGAAGAAAAGCCUUCUGCCUUUCCUUCAUUUGCCUCCAAACAGGACAUAAGUUUGUAAAGGAGCUCCCUCUCCCAACUAGGAAGGACAGAAGUCAAUCACCAGAGAUAACUCUAGACCCUGAUCAGCCCAGAGAUGGCCCAGAGGAGUCUACACAGCAAACCUCACUAACUAGGCUUUAUCUCCCACUAGCUCCCCAGACACUUGCCUCCCUAUAAUUUGCUGCCCUAGGAACUCAAACUCCUUUUCCUUUGUUUUAUCACCUCUCUAACAAAUGUAUUGUUCUUUUGCUAAGAUGCUUUAUAAGCCCAAGUUCUAACCACCCCUUUGAAUUACUCCUCUCUGAGUGCUGCCGUGUGUAUGCGUGAUGCUGGGGUCAGAGCUCUGAAGUUAGCUGUAUGACCCAACAGAUGGGUGGCCUCCAGGCCCCCUGUCAGCUCAGCACUGGAUGAAGGUGGACUUCAAGCACCACUAAUAGCCAGUUUCCAUGGAGAUCUUCAGAGAGGAUGACCUCAGCCAGACAUUUCAGUUUUACAGGUGAAGCUAAUGCAUUAAGAAGCUAACGGGGUUCUCAAGGCCCCAGAGUGACUUAAUGAAGCAGAUCCAGGGUCAGGCCAACUCCAGAGCUGGGAUUCCUAACACCACCAUCUGGAAAACCAGACAGAGCACAGCUGUAGAGGGCAGGGAACACUCACCCUGAAUGCGUCUGAGAGCCACUGCUAUCACUGAUGGUGCUCCCAUCUUUGAGACGUACUUAGAGGAAAUGCUUUUACAAGUCAUGGAAUGCCUGAGUUCCUCAUUAGUGCUUAAGUGCCGUGGACAUUUAUGGCUAUGACUAUUCCUUUGUCGUGAAUAUUAUCCCAUUAUAUCGAAGUGCUUUAUACACCUUAGAAGGAAGACACUACAGACUGCAAGUCCUAAUUAUUAUUAUUGCCAUUAUUACUACUACGAUUUUAAAAGUAUUUGCAGAAUGGUCCCAUUAAAGGACAGUUUAUUACGAGUUUACUGUCUUGCAUUUCUCUUUCCCGGUGUUUCCAAUGUUCUUGAUCUCUCUUACAAUGUUUUAUUUGUUCCCACUAAUGAAAAGAGAAACUAUUAAAAGCAGGCUCACAGAAUACCAAGUCAUAUAUUUAUUUUGAGUAAUCUCUUUAUAAUAACCCUAUUUCUUGCCACAACAGAAUAUAAACAUCUUGUUGAUUUUCUGUCUAAAUAUCUAUCUAAAUCAAGUAAUAUGUUUAAAGAGUCCUCAUCUGUUAACAAUUGGGCUAUUCAUAGAAAGAAAGGAA